UACUCGAGUGGCGAACGGGUGAGUAACACGUGGGUGAUCUGCCCUGCACUUCGGGAUAAGCCUGGGAAACUGGGUCUAAUACCGGAUAGGACGAUGGUUUGGAUGCCAUUGUGGAAAGUUUUUCGGUGUGGGAUGAGCUCGCGGCCUAUCAGCUUGUUGGUGGGGUAAUGGCCUACCAAGGCGGCGACGGGUAGCCGGCCUGAGAGGGUGGACGGCCACAUUGGGACUGAGAUACGGCCCAG
rnacentral:rRNA from 1 species